CCUACGGGAGGCAGCAGUGGGGAAUAUUGGGCAAUGGGCGCAAGCCUGACCCAGCAACGCCGCGUGAAGGAAGAAGGCUUUCGGGUUGUAAACUUCUUUUAUGAGGGACGAAACAAAUGACGGUACCUCAUGAAUAAGCCACGGCUAACUACGUGCCAGCAGCCGCGGUAAUACGUAGGUGGCAAGCGUUAUCCGGAUUUACUGGGUGUAAAGGGCGUGUAGGCGGGACUGCAAGUCAGAUGUGAAAAUUAUGGGCUCAACCCAUAACCUGCAUUUGAAACUGUAGUUCUUGAGGGAUGGAGAGG
rnacentral:rRNA from 1 species